rnacentral:rRNA from 1 species
AAAUAUUACGCUGGUUGCAUGCCUUACAGCAUGCAAGUCGAACGGCAGCACGGGUGCUUGCACCUGGUGGCGAGUGGCGAACGGGUGAGUAAUACAUCGGAACAAUGUCCUGUAGUGGGGGAUAGCCCGGCGAAAGCCGGAUUAAUACCGCAUACGAUCUACGGAUGAAAGCGGGGGACCUUCGGGCCUCGCGCUAUAGGGUUGGCCGAUGGCUGAUUAGCUAGUUGGUGGGGUAAAGGCCUACCAAGGCGACGAUCAGUAGUUGUCUGAGAGGACGACCAGCCACACUGGGACUGAGACACGGCCCAGACUCUUACGGGAGGCAGCAGUGGGGAAUUUUGGACAAUGGGCGAAAGCCUGAUCCAGCAAUGCCGCGUGUGUGAAGAAGGCCUUCGGGUUGUAAAGCACUUUUGUCCGGAAAGAAAUCCUUGGUUCUAAUAUAGCCGGGGGAUGACGGUACCGGAAGAAUAAGCACCGGCUAACUACGUGCCAGCAGCCGCGGUAAUACGUAGGGUGCGAGCGUUAAUCGGAAUUACUGGGCGUAAAGCGUGCGCAGGCGGUUUGCUAAGACCGAUGUGAAAUCCCCGGGCUCAACCUGGGAACUGCAUUGGUGACUGGCAGGCUAGAGUAUGGCAGAGGGGGGUAGAAUUCCACGUGUAGCAGUGAAAUGCGUAGAGAUGUGGAAGAAUACCGAUGGCGAAGGCAGCCCCCUGGGCCAAUACUGACGCUCAUGCACGAAAGCGUGGGGAGCAAACAGGAUUAGAUACCCUGGUAGUCCACGCCCUAAACGAUGUCAACUAGUUGUUGGGGAUUCAUUUCCUUAGUAACGUAGCUAACGCGUGAAGUUGACCGCCUGGGGAGUACGGUCGCAAGAUUAAAACUCAAAGGAAUUGACGGGGACCCGCACAAGCGGUGGAUGAUGUGGAUUAAUUCGAUGCAACGCGAAAAACCUUACCUACCCUUGACAUGGUCGGAAUCCCGCUGAGAGGUGGGAGUGCUCGAAAGAGAACCGGCGCACAGGUGCUGCAUGGCUGUCGUCAGCUCGUGUCGUGAGAUGUUGGGUUAAGUCCCGCAACGAGCGCAACCCUUGUCCUUAGUUGCUACGCAAGAGCACUCUAAGGAGACUGCCGGUGACAAACCGGAGGAAGGUGGGGAUGACGUCAAGUCCUCAUGGCCCUUAUGGGUAGGGCUCACACGUCAUACAAUGGUCGGAACAGAGGGUUGCCACCCGCGAAGGGGAGCUAAUCCCAGAAAACCGAUCGUAGUCCGGAUUGCACUCUGCACCUCGAGUGCAUGAAGCUGGAAUCGCUAGUAAUCGCGGAUCAGCAUGCCGCGGUGAAUACUUUCCCGGGUUUUGUACACACCGCCCGUCACACCAUGGGAGUGGGUUUUACCAGAAGUGGCUAGUCUAACCGCAAGGAAGAACGGUCCCCACGGUAGGAUUCAUGACUGGGUGAAGUCGUAACAAGUAGCCGUAUCCGAAAGUUCGGCUGGA